GACGAACGCUGGCGGCGGGCUUAACACAUGCAAGUCGAACGGAAAGGCCCUGCUUUUGUGGGGUGCUCGAGUGGCGAACGGGUGAGUAACACGUGAGUAAGCUGCCCUUGACUUUGGGAUAACUUCAGGAAACUGGGGCUAAUACCGGAUAGGAGCUCCUGCUGCAUGGUGGGGGUCGGAAAGUUUCGGCGGUUGGGGAUGGACUCGCGGCUUAUCAGCUUGUUGGUGGGGUAGUGGCAUACCAAGGCAUUGACGGGUAGCCGGCCUGAGAGGGUGACCGGCCACAUGGGGACUGAGAUACGGCCCAGACUCCUACGGGAGGCAGCAGUGGAGAAUAUUACACAAUGGGCGGAAGCCUGAUGCAGCAACGCCGCGUGCGGGAUGACGGCCUUCGGGUUGUAAACCGCUUUCGCCUGAGACGAAGCGUGAGUGACGGUAAUGGGUAAAGAAGCACCGGCUAACUACGUG
rnacentral:rRNA from 1 species